rnacentral:rRNA from 1 species
AUCGAACGCUGGCGGCAGGCCUAACACAUGCAAGUCGAGCGAGCGGCGGACGGGUGAGUAAUGCCUGGGAAACUGCCCGUUGGAGGGGGAUAACUACUGGAAACGGUAGCUAAUACCGCAUACUAUCAGAUGUGCCCAGAUGGGAUUAGCUAGUAGGUGGGGUAACGGCCUACCUAGGCGACGAUUCCUAGCUGGUCUGAGAGGAUGACCGGCGACACGGGAACGGGGACACGGUCCAGAGGCCUACGGGAGGCAGCAGUGGGGAAUAUGGCACAAUAGGCGCGAGCCUGAUGCAGCCAUGCGGCGUGUGUGAAGAAGGCCUUCGGGGUGUAAAGCACUUUCAGCGGGGAGGCGUUACCCGCAGAAGAAGCACCGGCUAACUACGUGCCAGCCGCCGCGGUAAUAC